rnacentral:rRNA from 1 species
GGUGGAUGCCCUGGCAGUCAGAGGCGAUGAAGGGCGUACUAAUCUGCGAUAAGCGCCGGUAAGGUGAUAUGAACCGUUAUAACCGGCGAUACCCGAAUGGGGAAACCCAGUGUGAUUCGUCACACUAUCAUUAACUGAAUCCAUAGGUUAAUGAGGCGAACCGGGGGAACUGAAACAUCUAAGUACCCCGAGGAAAAGAAAUCAACCGAGAUUCCCCCAGUAGCGGCGAGCGAACGGGGAGGAGCCCAGAGCCUGAAUCAGCAUGUGUGUUAGUGGAAGCGUCUGGAAAGGCGCGCGAUACAGGGUGACAGCCCCGUACACAAAAGCGCAUGUGCUGUGAGCUCGAUGAGUAGGGCGGGACACGUGGUAUCCUGUCUGAAUAUGGGGGGACCAUCCUCCAAGGCUAAAUACUCCUGACUGACCGAUAGUGAACCAGUACCGUGAGGGAAAGGCGAAAAGAACCCCGGCGAGGGGAGUGAAAAAGAACCUGAAACCGUGUACGUACAAGCAGUGGGAGCACCCUUUGGGUGUGACUGCGUACCUUUUGUAUAAUGGGUCAGCGACUUAUAUUCUGUAGCAAGGUUAACCGAAUAGGGGAGCCGGAGGGAAACCGAGUCUUAACCGGGCGUUAAGUUGCAGGGUAUAGACCCGAAACCCGGUGAUCUAGCCAUGGGCAGGUUGAAGGUUGGGUAACACUAACUGGAGGACCGAACCGACUAAUGUUGAAAAAUUAGCGGAUGACCUGUGGCUGGGGGUGAAAGGCCAAUCAAACCGGGAGAUAGCUGGUUCUCCCCGAAAGCUAUUUAGGUAGCGCCUCGUGAAUUCAUCUCCGGGGGUAGAGCACUGUUUCGGCUAGGGGGCCAUCCCGGCUUACCAACCCGAUGCAAACUGCGAAUACCGGAGAAUGUUAUCACGGGAGACACACGGCGGGUGCUAACGUCCGUCGUGAAGAGGGAAACAACCCAGACCGCCAGCUAAGGUCCCAAAGUCAUGGUUAAGUGGGAAACGAUGUGGGAAGGCCCAGACAGCCAGGAUGUUGGCUUAGAAGCAGCCAUCAUUUAAAGAAAGCGUAAUAGCUCACUGGUCGAGUCGGCCUGCGCGGAAGAUGUAACGGGGCUAAACCAUGCACCGAAGCUGCGGCAGCGACACUGUGUGUUGUUGGGUAGGGGAGCGUUCUGUAAGCCUGUGAAGGUGUGUCGUGAGGCAUGCUGGAGGUAUCAGAAGUGCGAAUGCUGACAUAAGUAACGAUAAAGCGGGUGAAAAGCCCGCUCGCCGGAAGACCAAGGGUUCCUGUCCAACGUUAAUCGGGGCAGGGUGAGUCGACCCCUAAGGCGAGGCCGAAAGGCGUAGUCGAUGGGAAACGGGUUAAUAUUCCCGUACUUGGUGUUACUGCGAAGGGGGGACGGAGAAGGCUAUGUUGGCCGGGCGACGGUUGUCCCGGUUUAAGCGUGUAGGUGUGUGUUCCAGGUAAAUCCGGUUCACUUUAACACUGAGGCGUGACGACGAGGCACUACGGUGCUGAAGCAACAAAUGCCCUGCUUCCAGGAAAAGCCUCUAAGCAUCAGGUAACAUCAAAUCGUACCCCAAACCGACACAGGUGGUCAGGUAGAGAAUACCAAGGCGCUUGAGAGAACUCGGGUGAAGGAACUAGGCAAAAUGGUGCCGUAACUUCGGGAGAAGGCACGCUGACACGUAGGUGAAGUGAUUUACUCAUGGAGCUGAAGUCAGUCGAAGAUACCAGCUGGCUGCAACUGUUUAUUAAAAACACAGCACUGUGCAAACACGAAAGUGGACGUAUACGGUGUGACGCCUGCCCGGUGCCGGAAGGUUAAUUGAUGGGGUCAGCGCAAGCGAAGCUCCUGAUCGAAGCCCCGGUAAACGGCGGCCGUAACUAUAACGGUCCUAAGGUAGCGAAAUUCCUUGUCGGGUAAGUUCCGACCUGCACGAAUGGCGUAAUGAUGGCCAGGCUGUCUCCACCCGAGACUCAGUGAAAUUGAACUCGCUGUGAAGAUGCAGUGUACCCGCGGCAAGACGGAAAGACCCCGUGAACCUUUACUAUAGCUUGACACUGAACAUUGAGCCUUGAUGUGUAGGAUAGGUGGGAGGCUUUGAAGUGUGGACGCCAGUCUGCAUGGAGCCGACCUUGAAAUACCACCCUUUAAUGUUUGAUGUUCUAACGUGGACCCGUUACCCGGGUUGCGGACAGUGUCUGGUGGGUAGUUUGACUGGGGCGGUCUCCUCCUAAAGAGUAACGGAGGAGCACGAAGGUUGGCUAAUCCUGGUCGGACAUCAGGAGGUUAGUGCAAUGGCAUAAGCCAGCUUGACUGCGAGCGUGACGGCGCGAGCAGGUGCGAAAGCAGGUCAUAGUGAUCCGGUGGUUCUGAAUGGAAGGGCCAUCGCUCAACGGAUAAAAGGUACUCCGGGGAUAACAGGCUGAUACCGCCCAAGAGUUCAUAUCGACGGCGGUGUUUGGCACCUCGAUGUCGGCUCAUCACAUCCUGGGGCUGAAGUAGGUCCCAAGGGUAUGGCUGUUCGCCAUUUAAAGUGGUACGCGAGCUGGGUUUAGAACGUCGUGAGACAGUUCGGUCCCUAUCUGCCGUGGGCGCUGGAGAACUGAGGGGGGCUGCUCCUAGUACGAGAGGACCGGAGUGGACGCAUCACUGGUGUUCGGGUUGUCAUGCCAAUGGCACUGCCCGGUAGCUAAAUGCGGAAGAGAUAAGUGCUGAAAGCAUCUAAGCACGAAACUUGCCCCGA